GACGAACGCUGGCGGCGUGCUUAACACAUGCAAGUCGAACGGAAAGGCCCUGCUUUUGUGGGGUGCUCGAGUGGCGAACGGGUGAGUAACACGUGAGUAACCUGCCCUUGACUUUGGGAUAACUUCAGGAAACUGGGGCUAAUACCGGAUAGGAGCUCCUGCUGCAUGGUGGGGGUUGGAAAGUUUCGGCGGUUGGGGAUGGACUCGCGGCUUAUCAGCUUGUUGGUGGGGUAGUGGCUUACCAAGGCUUUGACGGGUAGCCGGCCUGAGAGGGUGACCGGCCACAUUGGGACUGAGAUACGGCCCAGACUCCUACGGGAGGCAGCAGUGGGGAAUAUUGCACAAUGGGCGGAAGCCUGAUGCAGCAACGCCGCGUGCGGGAUGACGGCCUUCGGGUUGUAAACCGCUUUCGCCUGUGACGAAGCGUGAGUGACGGUAAUGGGUAAAGAAGCACCGGCUAACUACGUGCCAGCAGCCGCGGUGAUACGUAGGGUGCGAGCGUUGUCCGGAUUUAUUGGGCGUAAAGGGCUCGUAGGUGGUUGAUCGCGUCGGAAGUGUAAUCUUGGGGCUUAACCCUGAGCGCGCUUUCGAUACGGGUUGACUUGAGGAAAGGUAGGGGAGAAUGGAAUUCCUGGUGGAGCGGUGGAAUGCGCAGAUAUCAGGAGGAACACCAGUGGCGAAGGCGGUUCUCUGGGCCUUUCCUGACGCUGAGGAGCGAAAGCGUGGGGAGCGAACAGGCUUAGAUACCCUGGUAGUCCACGCUGUAAACGGUGGGUACUAGGUGUGGGGUCAUUCCACGGGUUCCGUGCCGUAGCUAACGCUUUAAGUACCCCGCCUGGGGAGUACGGCCGCAAGGCUAAAACUCAAAGGAAUUGACGGGGCCCCGCACAAGCGGCGGAGCAUGCGGAUUAAUUCGAUGCAACGCGUAGAACCUUACCUGGGUUUGACAUGGAUCGGGAGCGCUCAGAGAUGGGUGUGCCUCUUUUGGGGUCGGUUCACAGGUGGUGCAUGCCUGUCGUCAGCUCGUGUCGUGAGAUGUUGGGUUAAGUCCCGCAACGAGCGCAACCCUUGUUCACUGUUGCCAGCACGUUAUGGUGGGGACUCAGUGGAGACCGCCGGGGUCAACUCGGAGGAAGGUGGGGAUGACGUCAAGUCAUCAUGCCCCUUAUGUCCAGGGCUUCACGCAUGCUACAAUGGCUGGUACAGAGAGUGGCGAGCCUGUGAGGGUGAGCGAAUCUCGGAAAGCCGGUCUCAGUUCGGAUUGGGGUCUGCAACUCGACCUCGUGAAGUCGGAGUCGCUAGUAAUCGCAGAUCAGCAACGCUGCGGUGAAUAAGUUCCCGGG
rnacentral:rRNA from 1 species